AUGUUUCGACCUACAGGUGUUGGCAGUGGCACACAUUGGGGGAAUUUCUGGCUAGCCAUGCAUGUACUGAUCAAGAGAUGCUCCUUAAAGUUAACUUUGCUAAGCUACGUGUGCGGCGGCAUCAUAGACCAAGCUAGCCCUAACAGGUCCAUGACUCCAUGUACGUGGUGUUUCAGGCUAGUCUUGCAUGUACAAAUCCAACAUGUACAUAUCAAGCCACCUAAAGAAGCUAGCUUUGCCAAGCUAUGCUCGCGGUGGCUAUCUACAACCAAUCUCAAAUUUAUCUUGAAUCUAAAUAAUUUUCUAUGA
rnacentral:rRNA from 1 species